CUACGGGACGCAGCAGUGAGGAAUAUUGGUCAAUGGGCGGAAGCCUGAACCAGCCAUCCCGCGUGCAGGAUGACGGCCCUAUGGGUUGUAAACUGCUUUUCUGGGGGAAGAAACCUACUUACGUGUAAGUAUCCGCCUGUACCCCAGGAAUAAGCACCGGCUAACUCCGUGCCAGCAGCCGCGGUAAUACGGAGGGUGCAAGCGUUAUCCGGAUUUAUUGGGUUUAAAGGGUGCGCAGGCGGAAGGCUAAGUCAGUGGUGAAAUACUGCCGCUUAACGGUAGGGCUGCCAUUGAUACUGGUUUUCUUGAGUAUGGUUGAGGUAGGCGGAAUGUGCGGUGUAGCGGUGAAAUGCAUAGAUAUCGCCCAGAACGCCGAUUGCGAAGGCAGCUUACUAAGCCAUUACUGAUGCUGAGGCACGAAAGCGUGGGUAGCGAACAGGAUUAGAUACCCGCGUAGUC
rnacentral:rRNA from 1 species